GAUGAACGCUGGCGGCGUGCCUAACACAUGCAAGUCGAACGGAAAGGCCCUGCGUUUGUGGGGUGCUCGAUUGCCGAACGGGGGAGUAUCACGCGAGUAACAUGCCCUUGACUUUCGGAUAACUUCACGAAACUGGGGCUAAUAUCGGAUAGGAGAUCCUGCUGCAUGGUGGGGAUUGGAAAGUUUCGGCGGUUGGGGCUGGACUCGCGGGUUAUCAGCUUGUUGGUGGGGUAGUGGCUUACCAAGUCUUUGACGGAUAGCCGGCCUGGGAGGGUGACCGGCGACAAGACGACUGAGGGACGGCGCAGUCGCCAACGGGAGGCAACGGGCGGGAGUAUGACACAGUGAGCGGGAGCGUGAGGCGGCGGCGCCGCGUGCGUAAUGACGGCCUUCGGGGUAUGAACCGCUGUCGCCUGAGACGAAGCGGGAGUGACGGUAAUGAAUAAAGAAGCACCGGCUAACUACGUG
rnacentral:rRNA from 1 species